rnacentral:rRNA from 1 species
UACCAGCACCCCGAGUGGUCGGGACGUUUUAUUGGGCCUAAAGCAUCCGUAGCCGGUUCUACAAGUCUUCCGUUAAAUCCAACUGCUUAACAGGUGGGCUGCGGAAGAUACUAUAGAGCUAGGAGGCGGGAGAGGCAAGCGGGUACUCGAUGGGUAGGGGUAAAAUCCGUUGAUCCAUUGAAGACCACCAGUGGCGAAGGCGGCUUGCCAGAACGCGCUCGACGGUGAGGGAUGAAAGCUGGGGGAGCAAACCGG